AACGCACCUUGCGCUCCUUGGUAUUCCGAGGAGCAUGCCUGUUUGAGUGUCAUUAAUAUAUCAACCUCUUUAGCUUUUGCUAAUUGAGUGUUGGAUGUGGGGGAAUUUUGCUGGUCUCUUUUUAAACGAGGUCAGCUCCCCUAAAAUGCAUUAGCGGAACAUUUGUUGACCGUUCAUUGGUGUGAUAACUAUCUACGCUAUUGACGUGAGGCAGUUCAGCUUCUAACAGUCCAUUGACUUGGACAAUUUUCGUUAAUGUGACCUCAAAUCAGGUAGGACUACCCGCUGAACUUAA
rnacentral:misc_RNA from 1 species